AGGGAAAGAAGUGCUAUCUAUUAUAUGGAGAAAAGUGCAAGAAAAAUGGCCAACACAUGACUAAUGCAUUUCCUUUCUCAUAGAUUUAAAGGUCCCAUUGCCUGGAGGUGAGCACAUUCUUAGCCAAAUCGUCUGCCCCAUGUGAGUGGUGGGCGGAGCAUUCCAAUACUGCCCAAUUAGGAAUAGAUCUUUUACACAUGUGCUGUGGCAUCAAAGGGUUGGGCGGCAGCUUACCAGCCAUACCAGUGAGUGAAAAACAAUAAAAAAGGCUGCGCCACAGUAAAUAAUAAAAAAGUCCAAUAAAAGGUCCAAAAAGGAGAGAAGAUCCCAAUAUUUAUCCUUACAGAUAGUCUUUGGUGGUGAGGUCUUCUACUGAUGUGGUGGAUCCACUUGGUAUGAAAGAU